rnacentral:Y_RNA from 1 species
UGCUGGUCCGAGUACAGUGAUGUUUACAACUAAUUGAUCACAAUCAGUUAUAGAUUCCUUUGUUCCUUCUCCACUCCUACUGCUUCACUUGACCAGCCAAA